GCGGAAGUAGUUCAGUGGCAGAACACCACCUUGCCAAGGUGGGGGUCGCGGGUUCAAGUCCCGUCUUCCGCU
rnacentral:tRNA from 3 species